AAAAACCAGACUCAUUUAAAUUUAAACCUAAAUCUACAGGGUCGGCCAAUCGCCUGUGCAAACAGACCAUUAGCACAGGACCCCAAAUAUUUGAGGGCCCAAUUCUCAAAUAUUGCAGCCCAGCUUAAAAAAAAAAAAAAAAAAAAAAAAAAAAAAAACUUCCAGUUCUCUGUCUUCCUUCUUCAAUCUCGGCGUGUAAACUGCAAACAUGAAAUAAACCACGUUCUUCUCUAACUUCCCUUAAUUUCUCUUUCCAAUUUUCAGAGAUUGGUUAUCUUUUAAAAAUCUUCUAAAUUCUUAAUUUCUCAAUUUCUCUUAACAACUUCCCAAAAUUCCCUAACUCAUUCCUUAUUAACCGUUACCUAUGAAAAUAUCAAUUCUGAUUUAUCCAUUUAAUCUUCAAUUAACAACUUUUUUUUUUACUCUUUAUAUAUUUAUAACUCAUUUAUAUUUUUUCAUUAAUUAUCAAUUAGUUUUGAGACAAAAGAAAUUGAAAUUCAUACCUUCAAUAUUUUGUUAUUUUUUGAUUUCUGAAAAUUUGGGAGGAAGAAGAAACCAGAUUCGUGAAGUCGUAAUUCGUGAAGAACUGAAUACCUUAUGUUUCUAAAUAUUCGUGAAAGUUGAGGUCGAACUGAAGAACUGAAGAUUCGUGAAAUUUGCGGUCGACCGUCGAACUUCGAAGAAAUUAAAGCAGAGACAUAAAAGUAUGAGACAGUAACUCAUGGACAUUUGCUUCAUAUGAACUUGUUGAAGGAAGAAGACGAUUAGUACUAUUACUACUGUACAGAUGUACUAGUCUACUAGAUGUGGCUCCCCUCAAAAAUAAAAAUAAAAAAGUCUACUAGAUGUGGCAUGCGGCACAGUGGCAGCACCGUAGCAGGUAUGACCAUAUAAUUCUAUUACUCACAUAGUGUCUUAGUGGCUUAGUUUUAUAUUUUCAGUAUAUGUUAUUUGUACUAUAAGAGUACAAGUAGUAUUAUAAUUUGCUUCAAAAAGCAUUAGAAUAAUAGCUUGUUUUCUGUAGGAGGUUAAUAAUAGCUCUAAGUUGUAUUGAGAUUUUAUUUACCAGUUUAAUAAAGUAGUUUAAAUUUUCGUGGAUUCAA